rnacentral:rRNA from 1 species
CCUACGGUGCGCAGCAGUCGAGAAUCAUUCACAAUGGGGGAAACCCUGAUGGUGCGACGCCGCGUGGGGGAAUGAAGGUCUUCGGAUUGUAAACCCCUGUCAUGUGGGAGCAAAUUAAAAAGAUAGUACCACAAGAGGAAGAGACGGCUAACUCUGUGCCAGCAGCCGCGGUAAUACAGAGGUCUCACGCGUUGUUCGGAAUCACUGGGCGUAAAGCGUGCGUAGGCUGUUUCGUAAGUCGUGUGUGAAAGGCGCGGGCUCAACCCGCGGACGGCACAUGAUACUGCGAGACUAGAGUAAUGGAGGGGGAACCGGAAUUCUCGGUGUAGCAGUGAAAUGCGUAGAUAUCGAGAGGAACACUCGUGGCGAAGGCGGGUUCCUGGACAUUAACUGACGCUGAGGCACGAAGGCCAGGGGAGCGAAAGGGAUUAGAUACCCCAGUAGUC